UACGUAGGGGGCAAGCGUUGUCCGGAUUUAUUGGGCGUAAAGAGCGUGUAGGCGGUUCGGUAGGUCCGUUGUGAAAACUCGAGGCUCAACCUCGAGACGCCGAUGGAAACCAUCGAACUAGAGUCCGGAAGAGGAGAGUGGAAUUCCUGGUGUAGCGGUGAAAUGCGCAGAUAUCAGGAAGAACACCCGUGGCUAAGGCGGCUCUCUAGUACGGUACUGACGCUGAGACGCGAAAAGCGUGGGGAGCGAACAGG
rnacentral:rRNA from 1 species